rnacentral:misc_RNA from 1 species
AACGCACAUUGCGCCCCUUGGUAUUCCGGGGGGCAUGCCUGUUCGAGCGUCAUUUAAAGAACCUCAAGCACUGCUUGGCAUUGGGCCUUCGUCCCCCGCAGUGGGACGGGCCCCAAAGACCUCGGCGGCGGCGCGGAGCCUCAAGCGUAGCAGAAAUAUCCCGCUUUGGGGGCCUCGCGAUCGCUCGCUUCCAGAAAACCACACCUCAAAAGGUUGACCUCGGAUCAGGUAGGGAUACCCGCUGAACUUAA